AUGGCCGCCGCCGCCGCCGCGGAUGAGCCGUGCCGCUGCCACAUUGUGGCGGUGCCGUUCCCCGGGAGGGGCCACGUCAACGCCAUGAUGAACCUGUCCCGCCUCCUCGCCGCGCGCGGCGCCGCGGUCACCUUCGUCGUCACCGAGGAGUGGCUCGGCCUGCUCCGCUCCUCCUCCUCCUCCGCCCCGCCGCCGCCCGGCGUCCGCCUGCGCGCCAUCCCCAACGUCAUCCCCUCCGAGCACGGCCGCGCCGCCGACCACGCGGGCUUCCUCGACGCCGUCGCCACCGAGAUGGAGGCGCCCUUCGAGCUCCUGCUCGACCGCCUCCGGGAGGAGGAGGGGGAGGUCGCGGCGCUCGUGGCGGACACCUACGUGCCCUGGGUCGUGGGCGUCGGCAACCGGAGGGGCGUCCCGGUCUGCUCGCUCUUCCCCAUGCCCGCCUCCUUCUUCUCCGCCUACUACCACUUUGACUCCCUCCCGCCGCGCCUCGCCGACGAGCACGCCCCGGCCGCCGGCGCCGCUACAGAUAAAUCUGAUGAGAGACUUGAGCACUAUAUCUCAGGCUUUGCUUCAAGUUCAGUGACCUUAUCUGAUCUGGAGCCCCUAAUUCACAACAAGACAACAGUAAACCAUGUCCUAGCAGCUGUCUCUAGCAUCAAGAACGCGCAAUGCCUCCUAUUCACCACUAUGCACGAGCUCGAGGCCGGUGUCAUCAACUCCCUAAGAUCAGCACUCCCAUGUCCAGUUCUCCCAGUUGGGCCCUGCAUUCCCUACAUGACACUACAAGACCAGCAUUCCAAGUCCAAUGGAGAAGUUGCCACCAGUCCAGGAGACUGCUUCACCUGGCUAGACUCUCAACCUGUGAACUCGGUGCUAUAUGUCUCCCUCGGCAGCUUCCUCUCUGUGUCAGCCUCCCAGCUUGAUGAGAUAGCAUUAGGCCUUGCAUCAAGCGGUGUCAGGUUCUUAUGGAUUCUUCGCGAAAAGUCUUCCCGGGUGCGAGAACUUGUUGGUGACACCGACAGGGGCAUGAUAAUGGCAUGGUGUGAUCAGUUGAAGGUUUUAUGCCAUCCUUCUGUUGGGGGCUUUCUGACACAUUGUGGAAUGAACUCGACACUUGAAGCUGUCUUUGCUGGCGUGCCUAUGCUUGCUCUACCACUGUUCUUUGAUCAACCGAUUGAUGGUCGUCUGAUUGUUGAAGACUGGAAGGUUGGACUGGCCCUGCGCGAAUGGGCCGAUAAGGAUGGCCUGAUUGGGAGUCAGGACAUUGCAAGGGCUGUUAAGAGGCUCAUGGCCUGUGAUGAGUCCGAUACCAAGGCGAUAAGGAGGCGUGCCCUUGAGUGGAAAGAGGUCUGUGGCAGAGCUGUUGAAGAGGGUGGAUCUUCGUAUGAUAAUCUCAGUUCAUUGAUGCAGAUGGUAUGCGAGUCACGAUGUGCUGAACUCGAUCAGCAAUGUUCCAAAACUGAUGCUUGA
rnacentral:rRNA from 1 species